GACGAACGCUGGCGGCGUGCUUAACACAUGCAAGUCGAACGGAAAGGCCCUGCUUUUGUUGGGUGCUCGAGUGGCGAACGGGUGAGUAACACGUGAGUAACCCGCCCUUGACUUUGGGAUAACUUCAGGAAACUGGGGCUAAUACCGGAUAGGAGCUCCUGCUGCUUGGUGGGGGAUGGAAAGUUUGGGCGGUUGGGGAUGGACUUGCGGCUUAUCAGCUUGUUGGUGGGGUAGUGGCUUGCCAAGGCUUUGACGGGUAGCCGGCCUGAGAGGGUGACCGGCCACAUUGGGACUGAGAUACGGCCCAGACUCCUACGGGAGGCAGCAGUGGGGAAUAUUGCAAAAUGGGCGGAAGCCUGAUGCAGCAACGCCGCGUGCGGGAUGACGGCCUUCGGGUUGUAAACCGCUUUCGCAUGUGACGAGGCGUGAGUGACGGUAAUAGGUAAAGAAGCACCGGCUAACUACGUG
rnacentral:rRNA from 1 species